rnacentral:siRNA from 1 species
GUUUCCAAUUACAUGUUUCUA